UAACUGCAAUUCGUGCGGUUGCCAAUAA
rnacentral:sRNA from 1 species